rnacentral:rRNA from 1 species
CAGGCUUAACACAUGCAAGUCGAGGGGCAUCAGGAAGAAAGCUUGCUUUCUUUGCCGGCGACCGGCGCACGGGUGAGUAACACGUAUCCAACCUGCCCUUUACUCGGGGAUAGCCUUUCGAAAGAAAGAUUAAUACCCGAUAGCAUAAUGAUUCCGCAUGGUUUCAUUAUUAAAGGAUUCCGGUAAAGGAUGGGGAUGCGUUCCAUUAGGUUGUUGGUGAGGUAACGGCUCACCAAGCCUUCGAUGGAUAGGGGUUCUGAGAGGAAGGUCCCCCACAUUGGAACUGAGACACGGUCCAAACUCCUACGGGAGGCAGCAGUGAGGAAUAUUGGUCAAUGGGCGCUAGCCUGAACCAGCCAAGUAGCGUGAAGGAUGAAGGCUCUAUGGGUCGUAAACUUCUUUUAUAUAAGAAUAAAGUGCAGUAUGUAUACUGUUUUGUAUGUAUUAUAUGAAUAAGGAUCGGCUAACUCCGUGCCAGCAGCCGCGGUAAUACGGAGGAUCCGAGCGUUAUCCGGAUUUAUUGGGUUUAAAGGGAGCGUAGGAGGACUGGUAAGUCAGUUGUGAAAGUUUGCGGCUCAACCGUAAAAUUGCAGUUGAUACUGUCAGUCUUGAGUACAGUAGAGGUGGGCGGAAUUCGUGGUGUAGCGGUGAAAUGCUUAGAUAUCACGAAGAACUCCGAUUGCGAAGGCAGCUCACUGGACUGCAACUGACACUGAUGCUCGAAAGUGUGGGUAUCAAACAGGAUUAGAUACCCUGGUAGUCCACACAGUAAACGAUGAAUACUCGCUGUUUGCGAUAUACAGUAAGCGGCCAAGCGAAAGCAUUAAGUAUUCCACCUGGGGAGUACGCCGGCAACGGUGAAACUCAAAGGAAUUGACGGGGGCCCGCACAAGCGGAGGAACAUGUGGUUUAAUUCGAUGAUACGCGAGGAACCUUACCCGGGCUUAAAUUGCAGUGGAAUGAUGUGGAAACAUGUCAGUGAGCAAUCACCGCUGUGAAGGUGCUGCAUGGUUGUCGUCAGCUCGUGCCGUGAGGUGUCGGCUUAAGUGCCAUAACGAGCGCAACCCUUAUCUUCAGUUACUAACAGGUCAUGCUGAGGACUCUGGAGAGACUGCCGUCGUAAGAUGUGAGGAAGGUGGGGAUGACGUCAAAUCAGCACGGCCCUUACGUCCGGGGCUACACACGUGUUACAAUGGGGGGUACAGAAGGCAGCUAGCGGGUGACCGUAUGCUAAUCCCAAAAUCCUCUCUCAGUUCGGAUCGAAGUCUGCAACCCGACUUCGUGAAGCUGGAUUCGCUAGUAAUCGCGCAUCAGCCACGGCGCGGUGAAUACGUUCCCGGGCCUUGUACACACCGCCCGUCAAGCCAUGGGAGCCGGGGGUACCUGAAGUACGUAAAAGCAAGGAUCGUCCUAGGGUAAAACUGGU